CCGAACAUGCAAGUCGAGCGGAUGAGAAGAGCUUGCUCUUCGAUUCAGCGGCGGACGGGUGAGUAAUACCUAGGAAUCUGCCUGGUAGUGGGGGACAACGUUUCGAAAGGAACGCUAAUACCGCAUACGUCCUACGGGAGAAAGCAGGGGACCUUCGGGCCUUGCGCUAUCAGAUGAGCCUAGGUCGGAUUAGCUAGUUGGUGAGGUAAUGGCUCACCAAGGCUACGAUCCGUAACUGGUCUGAGAGGAUGAUCAGUCACACUGGAACUGAGACACGGUCCAGACUCCUACGGGAGGCAGCAGUGGGGAAUAUUGGACAAUGGGCGAAAGCCUGAUCCAGCCAUGCCGCGUGUGUGAAGAAGGUCUUCGGAUUGUAAAGCACUUUAAGUUGGGAGGAAGGGCAGUAAGCGAAUACCUUGCUGUUUUGACGUUACCGACAGAAUAAGCACCGGCUAACUCUGUGCCAGCAGCCGCGGUAAUACAGAGGGUGCAAGCGUUAAUCGGAAUUACUGGGCGGUCGACGCGGCCG
rnacentral:rRNA from 1 species